GGGGUAAUAGCUCAGUGAUUGAGUGUAUGCUUAGCAUGCACGACAUCCUGGGUUCACUCCCCAGUACCUCCA
rnacentral:tRNA from 1 species